UACGUAGGGUGCGAGCGUUGUCCGGAAUUAUUGGGCGUAAAGAGCUCGUAGGCGGUCUGUCGCGUCGAUCGUGAAAACUUGGGGCUUAACCCUGAGCUUGCGGUCGAUACGGGCAGACUAGAGUGCUGUAGGGGAGACUGGAAUUCCUGGUGUAGCGGUGAAAUGCGCAGAUAUCAGGAGGAACACCGGUGGCGAAGGCGGGUCUCUGGGCAGUAACUGACGCUGAGGAGCGAAAGCGUGGGGAGCGAACAGG
rnacentral:rRNA from 1 species